rnacentral:hammerhead_ribozyme from 1 species
AACUGGUCGAGAGUUGAUGCCGUUCUCCUGAUGAGGCCAUGAUAGGCCGAAACCAGUU